GCGCGUGAGGUGAAAACCUAGAUCGGGAAACUACCCUCACCAAUCCGCAGCCUCCUCUUCUCCCCAAUCCCAACUCAUCCUCUCCUCCUCGCGCCUCCUCCUUUCCUCCCCGAGCCGCCGCCGCCGUCGUCGUGCCUCGCCCCCUCGCGCCUCCUCGUCCGCGUCCCCAAGCCGCCGCUGUUGCGCCUCUCCCCUCGAUCUACCAAGCGCCAUAGGUGGAGGAGCAGCGAGGGGCGGCGCUGGGACGGAGAUGGAGGAGCACGGAUUCAGCGCCGACCUACUUCUCGACGAAUUGGGCCAUUCGUGAGAUGGGGCGGGCGCGGUCUGUGUGAUGGCGCUGCUCCGUGAGAUCCAUGGACGGCGGCUCGGUGGCAGAAAGCAGGUGGUGCAGGCCCGACGACAGAGGAGGGAAGCCUCGGCCACGGCCAAGGUAGGCGAUGUUUGUCAUGGAUUUGAGCAAACGAAGAGUCAUAGGAAGGUGAUUUGGAGGAAGGAGGUGACCAUUACUUGCUAGAACUCUUGUGUUGGAGCCUUGGAGGAGGGUGAAUUUGCCAUCUAUAAUUUUGUACGAGUAAGAAGUAGAUCCAGUUGCUUUUUUCCUAAAUAUUCGGGGAGGACAAGAAUAUGGGGGAACUAGAGGAGAAUCAUGGUGGAAAAAAGUGUACAUAUCAAGGAGGUUGAUGGUGAAUGGGGCGAUUUUGGCAGGCGGGGGUGUCAUGUACAACAGGAGGAAGAAAGUGUGAGAUGGUUUUUUUUUGGCAAUGUCUCAGUUCGUUCUUGAGCAGGAUUCGGGGCAGGACAGGCGAAUCUUGUCGUGUCGGUCCUCCGCUGGGCAACGGCGCUGUGGUGGGUCAAAAAUCGGGGUCGGACGGAUGGGAUCUGGGGUAGGGCAGGCAGGAUCUCGUUGUGCCGGUCCUCCUCCGUGUUGCUGCUGCGCUGCUCCCUCCUCCUCGUGGCUGCCUCGUCUCCCCUAUGUCGUAUCUGUCCCCAGCCUCCUCUACACGGUCGAGUCCUGGCGUCAUGCUGCUUCUGCCCCGCCUCCUCUGCACAGCAUGACGCUCAGAUCCUUUUCCUCGUGCUCCUCCUCUCCCAGCGAUCCUUGUGAUUCCUUUUUGCUAAGAUGAGUUGGUAGCACUUUCAGGGACUUUCUCCUUUUAAUAAAUCGACUACGAGCUAGAGAGACUUACAGAAUGGUUGUUUUCUUGUUGUGUAGUCUUUUAUCAGUAUACUCAUUCAAGAACUAAUAGCUGAGCCUGCACUUGAUAAAAGUUUGCUUCUGAAGAUAUUUUUCCUUCCUGGCGGAUAUGUCACUGUCUUUAUUUAUUGUAGGACGAGGAAGAGGGUGGCAACGGGUCGAGAUGGAAAGGUUACUGCCAUACCGGAGGAUGGGCUGAAAUUUGAAGGUGAUCUUUUGGUUGGUGCAGAUGGCGUAUAGUCAAAGGUAACGAGUUACUUGCCUUGUGAAAACAGGAGCAAAGUUGAAAUGAUUGUGGUUUUUUUAGGAGCCUGAAUUGAGAUUUUCUUAAACUUAUAGGUGAGGAAGUCGCUUUUUGGGCAAGCAUAAGUAUCUUAUUUAUAAUACACUUGCUACACCAGAAUUGCAUAUUUUGUGCUUCCUGAUAUUUACAUGAUUGGGCAUGUAGGUAGGUCCAACAUGAAUACUGUUGUUUCCUUUGUUACAAUAUAAUAAUACACUCAUCUUCUAUUGAAGGUACCAUGUGUUACUUGAUCGCAAAACUAUUCCCCAUAUAUUGCUUACGAGUAAAACAAUAUUUGUCCAGUCAGAUAACUGCAUGAUCUACUCUAAAACCCCCUUCUUCUGUCAAGAAGGAUGCUGCUGAGGUUUACCCCCAAGUAAUUAGGUUGCCCCUUUGAACUUUAACUUUGCAGAGGCCUGGAUCAUGUGUGAAAUCGAGCGCUAAGCCAGCUCGAGUGAUGCCGGAUGACGAUGAGAAAAGCGUGCGGUGCAGCAGCUUGACAGGCAGCAGAAGUGCUGUUAAGACCACAAGCAUGGCUUCGGAGACAAUGCUCAUUGAACGACGACAAAAGAAGUUUUUCUCAGAUUUUGUUCCUGAAUAUCCUAAAACUGGGUUUAAGGAAAUGAUUGGCAAAUGUGGAAGAGCUGAUGAAGACUAUACAGAAUUCUCACUGUCUUAAUCAAGUAACCGGUACAAAAUUCUCACGUAGGUCCGCAAGGCGAGUUCAGAAAGCAUAUCCCUGAGAGAACUAACAAGAAAAGGGAUUGAGCUUGAGAGGGAAACACCACCAUCUCGAAAGGUGCCGAAGACCACAGGUUUUGGGAACCACAAGUCAAACAAGCGGGGGAAGCUCCACUAUAACCUUCUCAGACAAGGGAAAUCGAAAUAAGCUGCAAGUAGCGUAAGCUAGACCUAGCUCCUAUACUUCAUAUGUAUGCAUCUGAUCAGAUCUGUUCGUUGUUCCCUAGAUUAUUUUUAUAGUAGCAUGUAGCCAGGUUGAACCUGCAGUGCUAUAUCUUUUGUUUAACUUAGUGAGAGGCCUAUUUCUGCAUUCCAUAUCUUGCUCGGGGAAGUUUUCCUUUUUGUACUUUUUUCCUUCUGUUUGGUGGUGCUUUUUCUACCUUAUUAUUACUACCCUGAGCAUUACACAUUUGUUAAUCUGUUUUAAUAUGCCGUGCA